rnacentral:lncRNA from 1 species
AUACAGGGCUGUAUUCAAAUUAUUCAUUUUUAUUUCUGUUAAAACUUACAUUUUAGGACUAAAUUUAAUGAAGAACCAACUUAUACUAAGAUAAAGUUGUUGAUGAAAAUCAAGAAAGGUAGUCCGAUAUUCUCUACAUACUAACCAAUUUUUUACCUGAUUUCUUAUUGUUCUUUUGUGUCUCUGAAAUGAAAAGAAAAUCCUGCCCGCCAACCUAACCCUUAUGCAUGCUGAGAUGUUACAUGUGUCUUACUUUACCAAGAUCAACAGUGUCAUCUGAUUAUAUUUACAGGUUGGUAUUCACUUCGAGCAGCAUGCUUAUGCGAGAAGCCUUGCUAAAUUUGCUGCAAAUCUUGGGCCUGUUGUUUGGAAAGUGGCUUCUAAGAAGUUGGAUCAUAUUUUGCCUGCUGGAGUAAAGUUUGGUCCUGGAUGGGUGGGAGAUGGUGGAGGUCCAAUAGAGCCAUCGACUUCUUCAGCUGAGAUCAAGAAAUCAUUGUUAGAUAGCUCGGCAGCUAAUCACCAUUCUAGUAGACCCGUUACACCGUCACCUCCUGGAUUAAGUUCUGCUGU